rnacentral:rRNA from 1 species
UGCAAGUCGUACGAUUAAAGCUCUCUUCGGAGAGUGUAUAGAGUGGCGCACGGGUGAGUAACACGUAAGUAAUCUACCUUCGAGUGGGGAAUAACAGUCGGAAACGACUGCUAAUACCGCAUAAUGCAGCGGCACCUAAUGGUGACAGUUGUUAAAGCAUUUAUGUGCUUGAAGAGGAGCUUGCGGCAGAUUAGCUAGUUGGUAAGGUAAUGGCUUACCAAGGCAACGAUCUGUAGCCGACCUGAGAGGGUGGUCGGUCACACUGACACUGAGUAACGGGUCAGACUCCUACGGGAGGCAGCAGUCGGGAAUUUUGGGCAAUGGGCGAAAGCCUGACCCAGCAACGCCGCGUGAAGGAUGAAGUAUUUCGGUAUGUAAACUUCGUAAAAAUGGGAAGAAUAAAUGACGGUACCAUUUGUAAGGUCCGGCUAACUACGUGCCAGCAGCCGCGGUAAUACGUAGGGACCAAGCGUUGUUCGGAUUUACUGGGCGUAAAGGGUGCGUAGGCGGCGUGUCAAGUCAGUUGUGAAAUCUCUGAGCUUAACUCAGAACGGUCAACUGAUACUGUCAUGCUAGAGUGCAGAAAGGGCAAUCGGAAUUCUUGGUGUAGCGGUGAAAUGCGUAGAUAUCAAGAGGAACACCUGAGGCGAAGGCGGGUUGCUUGGCUGACACUGACGCUGAGGCACGAAAGCUAGGGUAGCAAACGGGAUUAGAUACCCCGGUAGUCCUAGCCCUAAACGAUGAAUGCUUGGUGUCUGGAGUUUCAAUUCUCCGGGUGCCGUCGCUAACGUUUUAAGCAUUCCGCCUGGGGGAGUACGUACGCAAGUAUGAAACUCAAAGGAAUUGACGGGGACCCGCACAAGCGGUGGAGCAUGUGGUUUAAUUCGACGCAACGCGAGAACCUUACCUGGACUAGAAUGUGAGG